AAAUUCAUUGUUUUAUUUUUCUCUCUAAUAGCAAAGCCAGUGAGUGGACUCACUUGCGUAGCCCGUUGAGUUGUACGCUGGUCAUCACAUUGGCCAGUUGUUGCUGUCAUUCAAACCAUUUCAAUUUACUACAACGACAUGUUAUCAACAACAAUAGCAACAACAACAAGGAAUCACACACACACACGCUUGUGGACACGAUUACAGCACUGACCACCAGCUCACAAGGCCAACCCGCAUGGACCAACAGAUAUUUGCGAGAACGCAGCACCCAGCAGAGGCUGACACAAGCAAUACAACAACAACGAGCAAAAUUGCAACAUACACAAGUACAUAUAUCUAGCGCACAUGUCAGUAACGGCCAUUAUACCGUUGGCAUUGUAGAUGGGAAAACACCAACAACAAAAACAGCAACAAUACGAACACAAUUCGGUAGAAUUGGCAAAGCGUCGGGCAGAGCAGUGGCAGUGCAGAGGCCUGGAAAAAGGAAAUCAGUAAUGUCAUGCCAAUAACAACAACAACAACUACUCGGCGUGCCGCUGUAUUAGAAGCAUAUACAGCAACAAAAACUGCCCAACUGCUGGCAAUAAUGUCAACAAUGCGUUGCUUUAUGACAAAAACUGUUUGCAUAUUUGGCUAUGUAUGUGUGCAUGCACUUAUACAUGUGUGUUCGUGUGUGUGUGUGGAUGGCAUCAUGAAUAUCUACGCAAGUGUUUAUAUAUGUGCAGCCAUACAAAACGUCUACGUAUUUGGUCA